ACACCAGCCUCAAAAUCUUGAUGAGAACGUGGGUGCUAUAACUGCGGGUCUUCUUACUAAUGUCCCUCAUGCCUACGAGUUCAAUGGUCUUGUCAAUGGCGUGUUCUGUCUUUUAGGUCUGCCGCCAGUGUCCACAUUUGUUAUAUAUAACCCGAGGACCAGAGAAUCCAUCACUUUACCCAAAAUAAAGACGAAGAAUCAGAAGAUUAUGCUGACUACAAUAUUGUGAGAAACAUGAUCAUAAGACUUCAGAUCCAAGGAAUGGAAGAAGGUUAACGGUAAGCGAUGUUAUAUCUUUCUAAACCAUGUAGAGAACAUUAAGCUUAAGCAUUUUAGUACUUAACAACUUAUUAGGGUUGGAGGCAGUGAGAUGAGCAUUCUC